AAAAAAAUGGAUAUUGGCUGGCUUUUGUUGGUUUGCGCAGCCGCCUCCUCAUCAACUCUCUCUUCUCAUCUUCCUUGCUAGAGUUUUAUACAAAUCUAAGAGAUCCUCAAAGAUAGGAAAACUGUUUCGAGAAAAUUUUCUAGCAACAAAGAUCUUGAGCCCUGUUAAUACUCUCAAGCAUUCAGUUUCGAGGGCAACAGAGGACAGCAUAUUGAACUUGGGUCAUUAGACUCACGGAUUCUCUUACAUUCACAGGAGGACAUGUUGUUGUGUAAACAUACAAUGAUGGGUAGCAGUGACAGCGGCUUAUGGCGAGUUGGGAAAUCCUAUCUCCAAGGGAGACUUUGUGUGGUGGAGGAGAUUGCGAUCGUGUAAAUUUCAGUCUGCUGCUUUUGGUUUCUUGAAAAAAGCAAGUGAGGAAUUGUGUCUGGCCAUUGACUCGAUUCAGAAGUCUCUGCUAUGGUUGACUCAAUUGGGUGUGAUUAGAUUAAUUAAAUUAAUUAAAAAAAAGUAACUGCAGCUGGGGCCCAUUUUGUUGAAAUCCCUAUCUCUGUUUUCAAUCUCUCAAUCUCUCUCUCUCUCUCUCUCGCUCGCCUGAGUUUUUGGAUUAGACUAGUUUUGUUUUGUUGGCAUCGUAGAUGAAAAGAGAACAUAACUUUUUAGUCAAUCUCUCAAUCUCUCUCUCGCUGGAGUUUUCGCUGUUUCGAUUUUGAUUUGGCAUCGUAGAUUAGAAAAGAACAUAACUUUUUGCUCUGCUUUUGUUUCUCUCUUUUAGGUACUAAUUUUGUGGAAUUUGAUUCUUGUUUCGUUAGACUAGUUUUGAUUUUUGUUGGCAUCGUUUGAUUAGAUGAGAACAUAACUUUUUAGUCUAAUGUCAAUCUCUCAAUCUCUCUCUCUCUCUCUCGCGCCUGAGUUCUUGAUAUUGAUUCUGGUUUUGACUAGUUUUGAUUUUGAUUUGGCAUCGUAGAUUUGAAGAGAACAUAACUUUUAACUUUUUGGUCUGAGUUUUGGAAUUGUUUCUGAUUUCGUUAGACUAGUUUUGAUUUUGUUGCCAUAGAAGAGAACAUAACUUUUAACUUUUUGGUCUGCUUUUGUUCUCUCUCUCUCUAGGUACUACUGAGAUGGAUCCUCGUCGUGAAAUUUCACAACUGUUUGAGACUUUUGUGAAGUCUUUGGCCACUAAAGAAUUUGAGAGCUGUGAUCAGGUAAUAUCUCAACUUCAGCUUUAUGUUGCUGAAGGGAGGAGUAAUCAGGUCCGUGCCUGUUGCUGAUGGUUCCCAUGUUCCUCCGCCUGAUGUGGACAUUGUUGAAAAUCACGUUGCUGAAAAUUUGGACAUUGGUGGUGGGUGUAAAGCAAACGUGAUUUGGCCUUGAGUUUGGAGGCUUUGGAUGAUGGUCCUCUCUGCUUUGACAAACUCGCUAUUCCGAGUAAUAUUGAUGAUUUGGUGGUUAAUCCGAGUGAAAUUGGGGGUUUCUUUAAGAGUAUUUUUGGUGAGCAACAGAAUUUCCAUGAUGAUGACGAGGAGAUGAGUGUUGCCGAGGUAGAAGUUGAUGGAGGAGAAGAUGAGAAUGAAGAUGAAAAUGAAAAUGAAGAUGAGAAUGAAGAUGAAGAUGAGAAUGAAGAUGCAGAUGAAGAUGAGGACUUGCCACCUCGUAGGAGGUUGAUCAGGCCUACCCAAAGGUUUCUUGAAGGUAUUCAAACUUCACUCUCUUCAUCAGAAGAUGAAGAUUGAACUGGAGAUGAAGACUACGAAGACCAUUUUUUUUCUUUUUCAUUGUUCUUCUGUAAGAUUUUUUUUUUUACUUUUAAAGUUUGUAAAAGUUUAGGAGUUUCUCUCUCUCGUUCUAACCACACACGUGUGAAUUCUUAUCACACGUGGAAGACUCCCCGUAUUCAGACUCUCCCCACUUUCUCUCUCGUUCUAACUACUCAGUUUUGCUUGCUUC